CGGCAAUACUGGGAGCCGGCGGCGCUGGUCGGCCCUUCAGGGCCUAGCUCCGAAGCUCCGCCCUCUGCUCGGGUCUUUCUGGAAAGCCCGCUUUGAUCUCGGCCGUGGGGAAAGCGUCCCCGGCGCGUGUGUGUCUCCCAUGGCUGAUACAACCCCAAACGGCCCCCAAGGGGCGGGCGCUGUGCAAUUCAUGAUGACGAAUAAAUUGGACACAGCAAUGUGGCUUUCUCGCUUGUUCACAGUUUACUGCUCUGCUUUGUUUGUUCUGCCUCUUCUUGGGUUGCAUGAAG